rnacentral:rRNA from 1 species
UACAGAGGGUGCGAGCGUUAAUCGGAAUUACUGGGCGUAAAGCGCGUGUAGGCGGCUUGGCAAGUCGGGUGUGAAAGCCCUGGGCUUAACCUAGGAAGUGCACUCGAAACUGCCGAGCUUGAGUUCUGGAGAGGAAGGCGGAAUUCUCGGUGUAGAGGUGAAAUGCGUAGAUAUCUGGAGGAACACCGGUGGCGAAGGCGGCAUCCUGGACCGGUAUUGACGCUGAGGCGCGAAAGCCAGGGGAGCAAACGGG